AGAAUCAACGCUGGCGGCGUGCCUAAUACAUGCAAGUCGAACGCGAAAGUCCCGCAAGGGAUGAGUAGAGUGGCAAACGGGUGAGUAACGCGUGGGUGACCUGCCUUCGAGUGGGGGAUAACGUCCCGAAAGGGACGCUAAUACCGCAUAACAUCCUGCCUUUGAAGAGGUGGAGAUCAAAGCUGGGGAUCGCAAGACCCGGCACUUGAAGAGGGGCCCGCGCCUGAUUAGCUAGUUGGUGGGGUAAUGGCCUACCAAGGCAACGAUCAGUA
rnacentral:rRNA from 1 species